GUGCUUGCUUUGGUAGCACAUAUACUGAAAUUGGAAUGAUACAGAGAUUAGCAUGGCCCUUGCUGAAGGAUGACACGCAUGUUUGUGAAGUGCUUCAUAUUUUU